rnacentral:rRNA from 1 species
UACAGAGGGGGCCAGCGUUAUUCGGAAUUAUUGGGCGUAAAGGGCGUUUAGGCGGCUUUGCGUGUCUUUCGUGAAAUCCCUCGGCUCAACUGAGGACGUGCGGAAGAAACUGCAGGGCUGGAGUCCGGGAGAGGAGGGUGGAAUUCCCAGUGUAGCGGUGAAAUGCGUAGAUAUUGGGAGGAACACCGGUGGCGAAGGCGGCCCUCUGGACCGGUACUGACGCUGAUGCGCGAAAGCGUGGGGAGCAAACGGG